AAGAAAAAGCAGAAGCACCCGCUUCUCGCCUUGGUGACCAGAGUUGCCGGGCUGACGAGUUUAAAUGACCGUUGACAUUCCUUUGUCAAUGGAGUUUAGCGGGGUGCAGUAUGCAUUCCGCUUUUUUUGCUUGAU
rnacentral:sRNA from 1 species